GUCUCCGUUGGUGAACCAGCGGAGGGAUCAUUACCGAGUUAUCAACUCCCAAACCCCUGUGAACAUACCCAACGUUGCUUCGGCGGGACCGCCCCGGCGCCCUCGGCGUCCCGGAACCAGGCGCCCGCCGGAGGACCCAAACUCUUGUUUAAACCAUAGUGGCUUAUUCUGAGUCUCACAAGAAAAAUGAAUCAAAACUUUCAACAACGGAUCUCUUGGCUCUG
rnacentral:misc_RNA from 1 species